GUCUUUUUGGAGUUUAUAAAAAGUUUAACCUGCCCAUUGAUAAUAUUAAAAGGCUGCGGUAUUUUGACCGUACAAAGGUAGCAUAAUCAUUAGUUUUUUAAUUGAAAACUUGUAUGAAUGGUUGAAUGAAAUAUUAACUGUUUUAAUUAAAAAUAUUGAAUUUUACUUUUUAAUUAAAAGGUUAAAAUAAAAUUAAAAGACGAGAAGACCCUAUAGAGUUUUAUAUUUAUUAUUUUAUACUUAAAAAAGAUUAUUAAUUAUUAUAUUAUAUAAAGUAUUUUGUUGGGGUGAUAAUAAAAUUUAAUAAACUUUUAUUUAUAAAAAAUUAUAUACAUUAAUAUAUGAAAUUUUGAUCCAUUAUUAAUGAUUAAAAAAUUAAAUUACCUUAGGGAUAACAGCGUAAUUUUUUUUUAAGUUCAUAUUAAUAAAAAAUUUUGCGACCUCGAUGUUGGAUUAAGAUUUAAUUUUAGGUGCAGAAGUUUAAAUUUUAAGUCUGUUCGACUUUUAAAUUCUU
rnacentral:rRNA from 1 species